rnacentral:rRNA from 1 species
GUGCCAGCCGCCGCGGUAAGACGUAGGGAGCGAGCGUUGUCCGGAUUCAUUGGGCGUAAAGCGCGCGUAGGCGGCCUCGCAAGUCGGUUGUGAAAUCCCGGGGCUCAACCCCGGGACUGCGUCCGAUACUGCGAGGCUGGAGGUAGGUAGGGGAGAUCGGAAUUCCUGGUGUAGCGGUGAAAUGCGCAGAUAUCAGGAGGAACACCGGUGGCGAAGGCGGAUCUCUGGGCCUUACCUGACGCUGAGGCGCGAAAGCUAGGGGAGCGAACAGGAUUAGAUACCCGCGUAGUCC